rnacentral:rRNA from 1 species
ACGGAAGGCAGCAGUGGGGGAUAUUGCGCAAUGGGGGCAACCCUGACGCAGCAACGCCGCGUGAAGGAAGACGGCCUUCGGGUUGUAAACUUCUUUAAGUGUGGAAGAAGAUGACGGUACACACAGAAUAAGCCACGGCUAACUACGUGCCAGCAGCCGCGGUAAUACGUAGGUGGCGAGCGUUGUCCGGAUUUACUGGGUGUAAAGGGCGUGUAGGCGGGAUUACAAGUCAGAUGUGAAAUACCGGGGCUCAACUCCGGGGCUGCAUUUGAAACUGUAAUUCUUGAGUGCUGGAGAGGAAAGCGGAAUUCCUAGUGUAGCGGUGAAAUGCGUAGAUAUUAGGAGGAACACCAGUGGCGAAGGCGGCUUUCUGGACAGUAACUGACGCUGAGGCGCGAAAGUGUGGGGAGCAAACAGGAUUAGAUACCCUGGUA